CGCUCAUUUGCUGGCAUGCUUCGCCCCCCACAGCGCAAACCUAGCUCUCUUUCACCUCGAUUCCCACAGCGCAGCGCAUCACCACUCACUCCUCCCUCAUCAGCCGCCGCCAGGUCUUCUCGCUGGGGUCGAAUAGUAGGGGAUCCGGCCGGAUCCGAGGCGUGCGGGCGUGGUGGCGGGCAUCUUUGGCAGCGGCGGCGGCGGGCAUCUCCGGCAAAAAGCGAUGGCGGGGAUGCUCGAUUCGCCAUGGACCGGUCCCUGCAGGAGAGAGAAAGAAAGAGAGGAGGGAGAAAGCGAGAGGAAAGAGGAGAGGGAGGUGCGACGGCGGGCGGGAGAGGGUCUCCGGCCGAUGCGAGACAUUCACGUCUCUCCUCCUCUCCUGCUCUCGACCACCACCGUGGCCCUCCUUCUCCCCUUCAAUUCCCUGUCUCCUCUUCUCUGGAGUUACCUGAGUGGUCAACACCGAGAAAGAUGGGGAAGACAGAGCGAGUGAGGAAGACGGCUUGACUCUGCCGCCGAUGCUGACCGGCCAAUUCUGUCGGGCGCCGUCAUGGGAGGAGGCGAACCAUCGAGGAGCAGCACGGGAGGAGAUAAAGAUAAGCCGCCGGACUCCCUGUUCACUUCUGGUUGCAUCUUGCCCGUGAGCUCCUUCUUCUUACAGCCAGCUUGGCCCUUUUCUUGCCAUGUUUUGGGUGAUGCAGCGUAUCAAGCAGGCGAGGGUGAGGAUCAGAUGUGGUAGCAGCUGAAGGAGUCAUGGAGAGGUGGCGAGAGUGGGCAGCGGCUGUCGGCCAAGAAGGAAGAGGCUGGGACGAGGACCGGAGGAGGAGGUUCUCAUGGUGGAGUAUAGGAGGACGGAGGCGGAGUGCUGCUGCAACGGCUGUGGGACUGGGCGAAAGGAUGAAAUUAUUGUUUACUUUACAUUGGGGCGGUGGAGCCAAUGAAAAAAGAUCACUGCAGCUUUGAAUGUAGGCACAAGUCAAAUGAAACUAUUGGAUGGAGCAAUUCAGUGCGGUGGGGUACAGGGGCUCGUGCAGGAGUAUAUAUAACAGCAGAGUUCAUCUCUGUUUUGCUGACAAUUCACACUGAAACUGUUGAAAAGUAGAUAAUCAGCCAAUAAACAGUAAAUCAUCACAUCUAUUUGCUUUCCUGGUAUAUGGGGCCAUUAUUAUUCUGGUACUUCUAAAGAGUCAUUAUUCUUAUGGUACUUCUAAAUUUGCAUAUCUUUGUGUUCAGAUGGAAGUCACCUGGCAAAGGUCUAAUGUUUCAGAUUUAAUGUUACAUACAUGCCCAAUAGUAAUACGUUAUAUAAUAUACUCUAGACUGUAUUCUUAUUUAGUUUUUUUCAUGCUUCUUGUUUCACUAGGCUAUUGCAAAGACGACAUAUCCACUUGGAGUUGGAUAUUAUUUUGAUAACCAUAUCUAGCUAUUUUUACAAAAUAAUAUCAAUUAACUUGCAUCGAUUCAAUGCUAGAGCGUAGUCAUGAAACAUUGCCACUGCGCCACAAGGCGAUUAAAAUCAUGGAAAUUGAUAUAAAAGUUACUUGUGAUUUCUAUAGUCAUGUAAUCACAAACCAUAAUGAUAAAAAAGCCAAAUCGUUUAUUUUAUUGGAGAACACAUCAACUAUAUGGAUAAUCAAAUUUUGCUGACAAUUCACACUGAAACUGUUGAAAAGUAGAUAAUCAGCCAAUAAACAGUAAAUCAUCACAUCUAUUUGCUUUCCUGGUAUAUGGGGCCAUUAUUAUUCUGGUACUUCUAAAGAGUCAUUAUUCUUAUGGUACUUCUAAAUUUGCAUAUCUUUGUGUUCAGAUGGAAGUCACCUGGCAAAGGUCUAACGUUUCAAAUUUAAUGUUAUAUACAUGCCCAAGAGUAAUACGUUAUAUAAUAUACUCUAGACUGUAUUCUUAUUUAGUUUUUUUCAUGCUUCUUGUUUCACUGGGCUAUUGCAAAGACAACAUAUCCACUUGGAGUUGGAUAUUAUUUUGAUAACCAUAUCUAGCUAUUUUUACAAAAUAAUAUCAAUUAACUUGCAUCAAUUCAAUGCUAGAGCGGUAGUCAUGAAACAUUGCCACUGUGCCACAAGGCGAUUAAAAUCAUGGAAAUUGAUAUAAAAGUUACUUGUGAUUUCUAUAGUCAUGUAAUCACAAACCAUAAUGAUAAAAAAGCCAAAUCGUUUAUUUUAUUGGAGAACACAUCAACUAUAUGGAGAAUCAAAGGUGAAUGUAAAUGAAACGCUCCAUGUAUGUUUAGGCUCCAAUAUAAGAUUAAAAUAGUGGAUAAAUCAUUGUACCAUAUUCAAUUAGAACUACAAAGAAGAAGAGAAAUGGUUGAAUAGCAAAUUCUGACCGGCCAAUUCCGUCGGGCACCGUCAUGGGAGGAGGCGAACCAUCGAGGAGUAGCAUGGGAGGAGAUGAAAAUAAGCUGUCGGACUCCCUAUUCACUUCUGGUUGCAUCUUGCCUGAACCGUAUCAGAACAAAUCAUUGGCAUUGCAGCUUCAGGGACAUGUAUGAUGCAUAUCCCAUCACUGAACAAGAUUGGAUUUUAGUGUAUACAAGCCAUCCUACUCGCUGCCUCCUCAGCUACUCAGAUAGUUAUUCCUUCUCAUUAUCAGUGAGAUUCUCUGAUAUUUGAUGCAAAAUAUUGAUGGUCGGGUGAAUGCAGUGGACUCGUCGAGAUCGAGGGCACCAACGACAUAUGCCGAGGGCGUCCAUCGACAACCUGCCCAAUGUCCGGAUUCACCGAGUACAACUAGAGACACUAUUGGUUGCCUGCAGGCCUGUGAGUUGAGUUGCUGCUUGGUUGGAGAUGUUGAUGUUGUUCGAGACGCCCGCUGGAUUCACCCUUUUCAAGGUUCUGAAUAAGGGAAAGCUUGACAAGGUCGAGUGGUACAUGUAUGAUCUUCAUGGAGAUAGCCAUCAUUGGAUUUGGUAAUACAUAAUCACUUAUUCAGAGAGCCCAAGGUGAGAAGGGACGAGCAUCUAGAACACCACCACCUACUAAUCAGCGAGCUACUAUCUGUCUUUGAAUGAGUUACUUAACAAGAGAAGGCAGGAGUUUCCUACCUUUCUUCUGCAAAUCCGGAAUGCCUUUAUGGCAUGAUCAUGUGAAAAAGUACCUUGAUGCAGUAAUGGAUUUGAUUAUCACUGGUUACUCUGUUUUCACGAAUUACUAUCCAACUAGCAUGGAAGAACCAAAAGGUAGUUGAUCAGCAGGAUGGCAAGAGGAAGACAAGAACCAAAUUAAAGUUUGUUGUUGUGCAUGUCUGUAUCUAUCAAGAUUCAGUGCUAUGUAGAAAUGUCCCUGAGAUUUGUUUCACUCAACGAGACCAAACAAUCAGGAACACAAGUAGGAUAGUUGAUGAUUUUUUCAUUUUUCUUCUGAUAAAAAGGAAUCUUCAUCUGCCAAGAAUACGGCCUACAAGCAUGUAUGCCUAAUUACCUAUAUGCUGAUUUAACGAGCUCACAUACAUGUCCAUUUCUGAAAAUAGUUUACCCAUCCUCAAACAUAUAACUUGUGUGUUGUUGCUUUCCAUUAUAUUGAGAAAAACAUAUGUUUCAUUGGACCUUUUAUUCAUUCAGGAGCUCUAAAUGACAUCGUUGUAUUGGCAACAUAUUCAGUCAUUUCGGAUCAUCUUUCAGAGUCAUUCUGGACUGUUCAUGCCAAAUUGUUGGUGUGUGAUGUAAAAACCUGAAAAAAUGGCAGUUCAUGUUUAUUUUUCUUCUGAA